rnacentral:tRNA from 1 species
GGAUUGUGGCUCAGUGGUACAGCACUUGCCUAGCAUGCAUUAGGCACUGGGUUCGAUCCUCAGCACCA